GAGGGGCGGACGACUACUUUUGUCUUUCUUUCUUUAGACUAAAAAAGUUAUUUUCGAGACAGGAGGCGGCAGGAGAGAGGAAGAGACGAGCGAUGGCGGCCUGGUCACAUCGCUCGGACCUCCCCAGCUGCCUCCGCCUCCAGCUCCGCAGCAUUCGAAGAUCUCAAUAGCUGCAUUUCCAGCUCCGAGAGGCGAAGAGAUGCAAGCGCCGUGCAGCACCCUUUAUAGUGCCACGAAAAGGAAGUGGCGUAGCUGGAGCGUGAUGGCCGACUCCAGCCAAUCCGAAUAUCGCACCAUUGUGACGCAAGCCGGUUCGGAGCCGAAAGGGGCGGGAAAAGAGUUCAGGAGGCGGGUCCAGAGAUAGGGAAGAGAGGGAGGAGCUGACGUAAUCCGCUUGUAAACAAAUAAACCCGGAGUGGCGGCUGGAGACCCAGUUGCUUGUGUCGAGGGAGGGAGGGAGGGAACAGAGGGUGCGCGUGUGAAAGCUCCGCCCCCAGCCCUAGCUCCUCCUUCCCGCUUCAGCAGGUCCAGGCUCUGCGCCAGUGCAUCCUUCUCCAAGAGUGCGCUGCCUGGGCCCGCUUGCCCUGGAGUGUAAGUGCUGGGUAAAUAAGAACCGCCUGGCGCAGGCUGUGUCUACUCUUCACGCCGCCUUCUCAGAUCGGGCUGCAUGUCCCCACUCCGUGUUUACAUCUCGUUCCCGCUCCGGGUCUCGGUGACUGGCUCCUCAAGCCGGAGACGCGUGUGGUGCGGCGCGAUGCGGGCGCCAGCGCUGUGUGUGCUGGCGGUGCGCUGCCUUAGUGCGGGGGAAAGUGGAGGGAACGGUCCUGCGGGGCGUUCUGUCCAAGAAAAAGGACUGCAGCCUCGGGGAGCCAGGGUCCCCUCGCAGACGAGCUGCCAACGCCGCGGAGCCAUUUCUGUUCCACCCUAGGGGAGGAGUAGGGGGAUAUCUUUUAAAAGUUUAAUUGCAAAAUAAGUAGGUUAGUAAGGCCAUUUGUGGUUGCUGUUUCAGUAACUUCAGCAGUCAACGGAGAGAAGAGUGGAAACCUUACUGGAUGCGGACAGGAGAGCCAGUUACUGAAAGCAGAUAUAACGCGGAUCCUGUAAAGAGUGAAAGGAGAAGACCACUUUUAGUUGCCUCCCUGCUAGCACCCUGACUUGCUCUGCUUGAAUAAGAAUCCAAGGACACAAGCUAAGACAUUUGCACUGGGUUUAGAUCUACUGCGAUUCACAAAACACAAAAGAACUUUCAGUCAGAGGGUGACACAUAAUGAUUUUAGACAAAACUCAGUUUCUUCUGGUGGAAGCUAUUCAGAUUGUUUGGAGAGUGGGAGGAAAAAGGAGUGAAGCAUCGCUUAACAACAAAAGUAAUAAUGCAGGCAGAAUAUUAAAUGGAGAAGCCAGACUUUCAACACAUAGAAAAGAAAGCUAGUUCAGAAUGUUGAGAGACUUGGGAGCUGAUUGAUUGAAGGUGGCACUUAGAAGGUUGCCCUUUUUAAAGAUAAAGGCUGAUACUGUGACUCUGUCCCAGGGGACCUGAGUAAAGAACUCCUCAGAGAUGUGGGACCACUAUUCAGAACAAGAUUUGGAGAGCUGGGGCAGAGAAGAUUUUACCUUGGGGAUUUCUUCAGCUGCGAGUAGUAAAUUGGUUAUGCCUUAAUGAAUGAAGUUUGUCAAAUUUUAAGAUAGGAUGUUAUUACGCCUUUUAAAAGAAUGAGGUAGAGUAUAACAUCUGAUUUGGAGUUCUUUCCAGCAUUUUAAGGUCUUUAAAGAAAACAAAUUGGAGAAAAAUAAAUAAAUAUAGAUCAUGCUGUACAUAUA
rnacentral:lncRNA from 1 species